UACGGAGGGUGCGAGCGUUGUCCGGAAUCACUGGGCGUAAAGGGCGCGUAGGCGGCAUGCCAAGCGUGUGGUGAAAGCCCGGGGCUCAACCCCGGGUCGGCCGUGCGGACUGGCGUGCUUGAGCACUGUAGGGGCGGGUGGAAUUCCGGGUGUAGCGGUGGAAUGCGUAGAGAUCCGGAAGAACACCGGUGGCGAAGGCGGCCCGCUGGGCAGGAAGACGGAGCAAUCCGUCGGCUGACGCUGAGGCGCGACAGCGUGGGGGAGCAAACAGG
rnacentral:rRNA from 1 species